CCUACGGGAGGCAGCAGUGAGGAAUAUUGGUCAAUGGACGAGAGUCUGAACCAGCCAAGUAGCGUGAAGGAUGACUGCCCUAUGGGUUGUAAACUUCUUUUAUAUGGGAAUAAAACGUUCCACGUAUGGCCUUUUGUAUGUACCAUAUGAAUAAGGAUCGGCUAACUCCGUGCCAGCAGCCGCGGUAAUACGGAGGAUCCGAGCGUUAUCCGGAUUUAUUGGGUUUAAAGGGAGCGUAGGUGGAUUGUUAAGUCAGUUGUGAAAGUUUGCGGCUCAACCGUAAAAUUGCAGUUGAAACUGGCAGUCUUGAGUACAGUAGAGGUGGGCGGAAUUCGUGGUGUAGCGGUGAAAUGCUUAGAUAUCACGAAGAACUCCGAUUGCGAAGGCAGCUCACUGGACUGCAACUGACACUGAGGCUCGAAAGUGUGGGUAUCAAACAGGAUUAGAUACCCCGGUAGUC
rnacentral:rRNA from 1 species